rnacentral:lncRNA from 1 species
ACUGGUAAAUCAAUAUGUCCAUUGAACUUUAUUAUCAUAAGAGGUUCAAAAGUGAUGUCAUUAAGAGAACAGUGAUCAGUUCUGUACACCUUUCUGGCAAUACUAAAAAGCCUUUCUACAGCAGCUGAUGUGUGUGAAAUGGCUAAAUACUUGAUAGCUGUAUUAGCCAAAGAAGAAAGGCACACUGAAUUUGACUUCCAUCAUUCCAGUGCAUUGAUUGAAAUUUCUUCACAUGGCUCAGACAAGUAGAUGUCAACAUCAUGUACUGCACCAUACCUGUGUCUAUACUCUUUGAUGGAGUAGUAGGAGGCAUGAAACUGGAAAAGUCACUUUUAAAAUUCUUAGGUGG